rnacentral:rRNA from 1 species
CCGGCGAUGUCCGAAUGGGGAAACCCAGUGCAAUUCGUUGCACUAUCGUUAACUGAAUACAUAGGUUAACGAGGCGAACCGGGGGAACUGAAACAUCUAAGUACCCCGAGGAAAAGAAAUCAACCGAGAUUCCCCCAGUAGCGGCGAGCGAACGGGGAGCAGCCCAGAGUCUGAAUCAGCUUGUGUGUUAGUGGAACGGUCUGGAAAGUCCGACGGUACAGGGUGAUAGUCCCGUACACCAAAAUGCACAGGUUGUGAACUCGAAGAGUAGGGCGGGACACGUGGUAUCCUGUCUGAAUAUGGGGGGACCAUCCUCCAAGGCUAAAUACUCCUGACUGACCGAUAGUGAACCAGUACCGUGAGGGAAAGGCGAAAAGAACCCCGGCGAGGGGAGUGAAAAAGAACCUGAAACCGUGUACGUACAAGCAGUGGGAGCACCUUCGGGUGUGACUGCGUACCUUUUGUAUAAUGGGUCAGCGACUUAUAUUCUGUAGCAAGGUUAACCGUAUAGGGGAGCCGCAGGGAAACCGAGUCUUAACUGGGCGUUAAGUUGCAGGGUAUAG